rnacentral:rRNA from 1 species
AACAGACGAGGAGCUUGCUCCUUUGAUGUUAGCGGCGGACGGGUGAGUAACACGUAGGUAACCUACCUAUAAGACUGGGAUAACUUCGGGAAACCGGAGCUAAUACCGGAUAAUAUUUCGAACCGCAUGGUUCGAUAGUGAAAGAUGGCUUUGCUAUCACUUAUAGAUGGACCUGCGCCGUAUUAGCUAGUUGGUAAGGUAACGGCUUACCAAGGCAACGAUACGUAGCCGACCUGAGAGGGUGAUCGGCCACACUGGAACUGAGACACGGUCCAGACUCCUACGGGAGGCAGCAGUAGGGAAUCUUCCGCAAUGGGCGAAAGCCUGACGGAGCAACGCCGCGUGAGUGAUGAAGGUCUUCGGAUCGUAAAACUCUGUUAUUAGGGAAGAACAAACGUGUAAGUAACUGUGCACGUCUUGACGGUACCUAAUCAGAAAGCCACGGCUAACUACGUGCCAGCAGCCGCGGUAAUACGUAGGUGGCAAGCGUUAUCCGGAAUUAUUGGGCGUAAAGCGCGCGUAGGCGGUUUUUUAAGUCUGAUGUGAAAGCCCACGGCUCAACCGUGGAGGGUCAUUGGAAACUGGAAAACUUGAGUGCAGAAGAGGAAAGUGGAAUUCCAUGUGUAGCGGUGAAAUGCGCAGAGAUAUGGAGGAACACCAGUGGCGAAGGCGACUUUCUGGUCUGUAACUGACGCUGAUGUGCGAAAGCGUGGGGAUCAAACAGGAUUAG